UCUGGCGGUAAUAGCGCGGUGGUCCCACCUGACCCCAU
rnacentral:rRNA from 1 species